UACGAAGGGGGCGAGCGUUGUUCGGAUUUACUGGGCGUAAAGGGCGCGCAGGCGGCUCAUUUUGUCAGGCGUGAAAGCCCUGGGCUCAACCCGGGAAUUGCGCUUGAGACUGGUGUGCUCGAGUACGGGAGAGGAUAGUGGAAUUCCCAGUGUAGAGGUGAAAUUCGUAGAUAUUGGGAAGAACACCGGUGGCGAAGGCGGCUAUCUGGACCGUAACUGACGCUGAGGCGCGAAAGCGUGGGGAGCAAACAGG
rnacentral:rRNA from 1 species